CUCAAGGGAGAAUAUUCUCUUUUACAAGCCAAUGCAAAGCUCCACCUUUCACAUUCUCCUCAGAGACAAACUAAAAUGCAAGCUGGGUGAAAUUACUACCAAGUGAGGAGGAUAUGAAAACCCCUACAAUACAAUGUCAGGACUCCAGACAAAGCACCCAGGAAUGCCAGUCUACUGUUCUGCAUUCUCCCACUGAAUGUGCCAACCAUGGGGGCUCCCAGGAGGCUGGUAGGGACAUAGAGUCAUAUGCUGUUGGGACUACUGGCAAGAAGGACCAGCUGGCAUCCUAGGUAGCAAAGCAGGCGUGCAUUAUCACAUUCUACCCAUUCACAUAUGCAGCGGGUUGGCCGACCAGUCCUGGAAGGAAAGCACAGGAGUGAGAAAAGGUGUUCUGGAGAAACUGCUUUCAGUCGCAGUCCUUUGCUGUGUGCUUUUGAUUCUUUGGCCAUAUCUCCCUAUCCUCCAUCCCAUCCCCCACUGGAAACAUGAGGGAACCUCACCUUUCCUCCUCCUCACGGCUGCCUCUGUCACUCUUAUCAUUUACGGACUCUACAUCAUCAAUUCAGCUGUUUCUCAGCUGCCUCUGUGACUCUGGGGUGAACGAUGAAGACUUAGAUCACCCGCCUCCCUCCUCUGGCCAGUGUUUG